rnacentral:rRNA from 1 species
UACGUAGGGGGCAAGCGUUGUCCGGAAUCAUUGGGCGUAAAGAGCGUGUAGGCGGCCCGGUAAGUCCACUGUGAAAGUCCAGGGCUCAACCCUGGGAUGCCGGUGGAUACUGUCGGGCUCGAGUCCGGAAGAGGAGUGUGGAAUUCCUGGUGUAGCGGUGAAAUGCGCAGAUAUCAGGAGGAACACCAAUGGCGAAGGCAGCACUCUGGGACGUGACUGACGCUGAGACGCGAAAGCGUGGGGAGCAAACAGG